AGUGAACGCUGGCGGUAGGCCUAACACAUGCAAGUCGAACGGCAGCACAGUAAGAGCUUGCUCUUACGGGUGGCGAGUGGCGGACGAGUGAGGAAUACAUCGGAAUCUACUUUUUCGUGGGGGAUAACGUAGGGAAACUUACGCUAAUACCGCAUACGACCUACGGGUGAAAGCAGGGGAUCUUCGGACCUUGCUCGAUUGAAUGAGCCGAUGUCGGAUUAGCUAGUUGGCGGGGUAAAGGCCCACCAAGGCGACAAUCCGUAGCUGGUCUGAGAGGAUGAUCAGCCACACUGGAACUGAGACACGGUCCAGACUCCUACGGGAGGCAGCAGUGGGGAAUAUUGGACAAUGGGCGCAAGCCUGAUCCAGCCAUACCGCGUGGGUGAAGAAGGCCUUCGGGUUGUAAAGCCCUUUUGUUGGGAAAGAAAAGCAGCAGGUUAAUACCCCGCUGUUCUGACGGUACCCAAAGAAUAAGCACCGGCUAACUUCGUG
rnacentral:rRNA from 1 species